rnacentral:rRNA from 1 species
AUAGCUGGUUAUUCAGGAAAAGGAUAUUAGUCCUAUUUUAAGUCUCCAAAUAACAUCAAAUACACCCGCAGCCUUAAAAUUCAUUCAAAUAAGGUACAGCCUAUUUGAAACAGGAUACAACCUAUGACACAGGGUAAUGUCUUAACUAGUGCGACUAAGUAGGCCUAAAAGCAGCCACCUUUUAAAAAGCGUUACAGCCUAAUCACACUUCAACACCAAUUCCAACCUAAAUCCAAAACCCCCCCACCAAUACUGAAUGACUCCAUACCCAUAUGGAAAACCUUAUGUUAGAACUAGUAACAAGAAUAAUUAUUCUCCUACAAACGUAAAUGUAAGCCGGAAUGAACCACUCACCGGCACUUAUCGUCAAUGAGCCUAUAGUAGCAACCCCAACCAAGAAAACCCUACUACUCACAACGUUAACCUUACACCAGAACUUUCCCGGAAAGAUUUAAAAAAGAGGAAGGAACUCGGCAAACACUAACCCCGACUGUUUAC